GGGGACGAUAGGGCUCGACAGUGGAUGAGCUACCCGGGAUUGCAGGCCGAGAUCGCCAUAUUCUCGUUAAACGGUGGCAAAAAAAGUAACUGGCGAAAAAGCCUACGCUUUCGCUGCCUAACUAGGCAGUGACAUCCACCUCAACCCCACCCCGACGGGUUGGGGCUGGGUGACGAAAUGCCGGGGUGCGGCAGAUCAGACGCCGAUAAGGGCUGCUUAAGACUCAUCGGCUGGCGUCUACGGACUCAGCCAGUUAAGGCCGUAGAUGUAAGAUAAAAAAUUGGCUAAGCUUGUAGGACAUUCUGGGGGCUUUCCUCUGGACGGGGGGUUCAAUUCCCCCCCGUCUCCACCA
rnacentral:tmRNA from 1 species